UUCUCUACUAGGGUCGUAAAUUGACAGCACAGGUGAUUGAAUAAGUUUAUUUCGUAAGGUUUCGAAUGAUUGAAUGCAUUCAUUAGUAAACUCAAAUGGUACUGUUUCUUUUAAUAAGUUUGUUAGUGGUUUUGCAAUACUUGAAAAAGAUGGAACGAACCGCCGAAAAAAUGAAAAUAAGCCUAAGCACUGUUGAACUUGUUUCUUGCUACGAGGAAAGGGGUAGUUUUUAAUUGAUUUAAUAUGAUGUUCACUCGGACGUAUUCCUAAACAGUUUGCAUUGUAACCAAGGUAUUCUAAUUCCCUUUGGGCAAAUUUGCAUUUGUCCAGUCGUAACUCCAAACCAUUUUUGCGUAUCGCGUUUAACACUUGUCCGAUCAGUUCAAGAUGUUGGUCAAAAUCUUUUGAAGCAAUCAAAAUGUCGUCUAUAUACACUACCAAUUCCCCUCGUUCUAUAAAUUCUCUAAGUACCGAAUUAAUAAAGCGUUGGAACUCAGCCGGAGCAUUUUUCAAUCCGAAGGGCAUGCGGGUAUAUUCGUACUGCCCAUCAGGUGUAACGAACGCCGUAUAUUUAAUCGAUUCUUCAUCCAUAACUAACUGAUGAAAUCCGCUUUUGAGGUCUAGUAACGUAAAGUAUUGUUUAUGUCCCAAAUGUUCUAGGCAGGUGUCUAUAAGAGGCAAUGGAAAAUUAUCACGAACUGUUACUUUAUUUAAUGGUCUGUAAUCAACACAUUUUCUAACUUCGCCAUUUUUCUUUCGAACCAGGACUAAGGCAGACGCGUAUGCAAAUGACAACCGUCUUGGUUUGGUAGAAAUAGGAGUGUCAUCUUCACUUUGGUAUUUUGUAAGGUUUUUACCAAUAUCAAUGGGAUUUGUUUGAUCAACAACAUCUAUCAUACACAAAGAAGAAAAUGUAUCGGUAAACACAUCGAUCGACUCAUG